AGUUCAGACACGCGUCCUUCACCCGUGAAAACCCCAUAUUUCGUUGGAACCUUCUCCGUUGUCUUUUCUACUCUGAUCAAACCUUUUCAUCCCUGGUGAAACUCCAUUUCUGUAGCAAAAGUGACUCAGAACAGAGCCAAAUCUUCUGGUUCGUUAAUUCUGAAUUGAGAGAAAGUUACAAGGUGAAAGUCUCUUCUGGACAAUCCUGUCAGCCAACUUCGACAGCUGAAAACUGCCACUUCUGCUGUUCACAUCACCGCGACGUUUUCAUGAAAGUUGUUCAAAAUUGCGUCUUCUAUACUGUGCUCGAAAAUCAUGAUAAUCCAACGGUUAAUUCUUUCUCAAUCAAGUUUCUGCUCAGAUUGGGUCAUGUUUCUCCAUCGACAUUUGAGUUAAUUUCAUGAAGUUUACAUCUCCAUCUUGAGUUCACACAAUUGAUUUUACAAUUGGUUGCUGCCCUUUCUGCACUCGGAUUGGAGAACAAAGCACAAUCAACACUGAAGGAGGGCACUAUGCUUGAAGGCAAUAGGAAAACUACUGUUGGACACAAGCGAGAAUAAAGGCUCAGGUAGAUGGUCAAACAUAUGUGGGUAACAAAGUUACUAUGUUGGAGAAUGCACUGCUUGCUACUUCAAAAGAGCUGCAAGAGUUGAAGAUGGUGGUAAAAAAUAUUUUAGCUCAGUUAGACAAAGGAGAAAAGAAGAAUGAAACUAGCAGUGCUCAGCAAUCUACCAUUGAGAUUGCACAAAGUAAAAAAGUAAAUGCCACUGCAGAGAGCAAGAAAAGAAAAGAAAAAGAUCGUAGAGUUGGAGGUUCUGAACAAGAAGGAAGCAAACAUAGCAAGCAGAAGACACAUGCAAGUAUUCAGUCAACAGCCAAAGAAAAGGAAGGUGGGAGUGAAGUAAAGAUGAAGAAAUUACACUUGUUAAGUUGGUUAGAUAAAGAGGAAAAGAUUGUUGCAGCUGCAGACCUUCACUCAGAGGAUCCAAACGAGAAAGUACAUUGUGUUCCUCUUGGUCUUGGUUGUUGGAAAGUUUGGGUGCGUGAAGUCUCUCAUGACAUACCUUUGUUUCGGCCAACCCAAGAGUUCAGUACGCUUGUUGUAGCUAAAGGAAGCACAGUGGCUUGGCCAUCAACUUCAUCAAGCUACUUUAAUAUGUGAUAUUUGAGGUAAACUACUAGACUUUGAUUGCAUUAUGGUUCAAUACAAGGCAAAGAUAGUAGGAUGUCAGAACAUAGAACUGAUCUCAGAGGGAAUAGAUGUUCUAGUUUAUGAAAUUUUGAAGAGCAAUAGUUCACUACUAGAAUUUUGUUCAUAGACAUCGGUUCUGGACCGAUGUUAAACUAAUUUUCGACCGAUGUCUUAGUGGGUGUAGAGAAAAGUAUGGACAUCAGUAUAAGCGCGUUUUCAACCGAUGUCCCAGACAACAACCAACAUCGAUUCUAAAAAACAAAUCGAUGUAUGAUCGUUAUAAUCA